rnacentral:rRNA from 1 species
UACGUAGGGGGCAAGCGUUGUCCGGAAUUAUUGGGCGUAAAGAGCGUGUAGGCGGCCCGAUAAGUCCGCUGUGAAAGUCCAGGGCUCAACCCUGGGAUGCCGGUGGAUACUGUCGGGCUCGAGUCCGGAAGAGGAGUGUGGAAUUCCUGGUGUAGCGGUGAAAUGCGCAGAUAUCAGGAGGAACACCGGUGGCGAAGGCGCCACUCUGGGCCGAAACUGACGCUGAGGAGCGAAAGCGUGGGUAGCAAACAGG